AGCAAGAGCCCGGAGAUGGAUUCUGAGACAUGAAUCCAGGCCCUACGGGGCGCAGCAGGCGCGAAAACUUUACAAUGCGGGAAACCGUGAUAAGGGGACACCGAGUGCCAGCAUCAUAUGCUGGCUGUCCAGAUGUGUAAAAUACAUCUGUUAGCAAGGGCCGGGCAAGACCGGUGCCAGCCGCCGCGGUAACACCGGCGGCCCGAGUGGUGAUCGUGAUUAUUGGGUCUAAAGGGUCCGUAGCCGGUUUGGUCAGUCCUCCGGGAAAUCUGAUAGCUCAACUAUUAGGCUUUCGGGGGAUACUGCCAGGCUUGGAACCGGGAGAGGUAAGAGGUACUACAGGGGUAGGAGUGAAAUCUUGUAAUCCCUGUGGGACCACCUGUGGCGAAGGCGUCUUACCAGAACGGGUUCGACGGUGAGGGACGAAAGCUGGGGGCACGAACCGGAUUAGAUACCCGGGUAGUCCCAGCCGUAAACGAUGCUCGCUAGGUGUCAGGCAUGGCGCGACCGUGUCUGGUGCCGCAGGGAAGCCGUGAAGCGAGCCACCUGGGAAGUACGGCCGCAAGGCUGAAACUUAAAGGAAUUGGCGGGGGAGCACAACAACGGGUGGAGCCUGCGGUUUAAUUGGACUCAACGCCGGACAACUCACCGGGGACGACAGCAAUAUGUAGGCCAGGCUGAAGACCUUGCCUGAAUCGCUGAGAGGAGGUGCAUGGCCGUCGCCAGUUCGUACUGUGAAGCAUCCUGUUAAGUCAGGCAACGAGCGAGACCCGUGCCCACUGUUACCAGCAUAUCCUCCGGGAUGAUGGGUACUCUGUGGGGACCGCCGGUGUUAAAUCGGAGGAAGGUGCGGGCCACGGUAGGUCAGUAUGCCCCGAAUUUCCCGGGCUACACGCGGGCUACAAUGAAUGGGACAAUGGGUCCCUCCCCCGAAAGGGGCUGGUAAUCUCACAAACCCAUCCGUAGUUCGGAUCGAGGGCUGUAACUCGCCCUCGUGAAGCUGGAAUCCGUAGUAAUCGCGUCAA
rnacentral:rRNA from 1 species